AUUCAGUUUCCACAUGGACUCUGCUUCUCCACCUUUGUUCUCUGUUUUCCACCUCCUGGAUUUUCCCACAUGGACUCAGUUCUCCUCCUAGAUUCUCAGCAGCCCUGCUUCAGUCUCCAGACAGUUUUUCCUGUCUCGUCUCCAUCUUCCCUCUCUGUUGUCAGUUCCCCCAUCUUGUUGUCAUUGUGGAUUAAGCUGAUCAGCGUGGAGGAGAGCUAGAGCCGGGGUGAAUGUUUCCUCAUGGAGGGCUGAUGGAUGAGCGGUUGUUGGCAAAUCUAUGAACUUAUUCUGACUGAUGACAGAGAAAUCUGGACUUGUUGCUUCAUGACCAGUCUGAAUUGUUGGUCACCACAUGUGAGGAUAUCGGAGGCAGAAUUCCACAUCUAAAGAAAUAUCUCCAACAUCACAGAGAGCACUUCUGAACUGAAUGGUUUCUUCAGUAUUAUUUCCUCAAUGUCAGGUUCUAUUAAAUGGUCUUCUUUCUCAUUAACAAAAGUGCUAAAAAUCUUAAACCAAUUUUCCUCCACAGCAAAUAAACAAAGCAGAGAAUUUCAGAG